rnacentral:misc_RNA from 1 species
GAUGAAGAACGUAGCGAAAUGCGAUAAGUAGUGUGAAUUGCAGAAUUCAGUGAAUCAUCGAAUCUUUGAACGCACAUUGCGCCCGUUAGCAUUCUAGCGGGCAUGCCUGUCCGAGCGUCAUUUCAACCCUCAGGGUCCCCGUUCCGGCGGGGAACCUGGUGUUGGGGAUCGGCCCGCCCCGUGCGGCGCCGUCCCCCAAAUUCAGUGGCGGUCUCGCUGCAGCCUCCCCUGCGUAGUAGUUACAACCUCGCAUCGGAGCUCAGCGCGGCCACGCCGUAAAACCCCCGACUUUCUGAACGUUGACCUCGGAUCAGGUAGGAAUACCCGCUGAACUUAAGCAUAUCAAUAAGCGGAGGA